UCUAGUAUAAGCAUCUAUACAGUGAAACUGCGAAUGGCUCAUUAAAUCAGUUAUCGUUUAUUUGAUAGUACCUUACUACUUGGAUAACCGUGGUAAUUCUAGAGCUAAUACAUGCUAAAAACCUCGACUUCGGAAGGGGUGUAUUUAUUAGAUAAAAAACCAAUGCCCUUCGGGGCUCCUUGGUGAUUCAUGAUAACUUAACGAAUCGCAUGGCCUUGUGCCGGCGAUGGUUCAUUCAAAUUUCUGCCCUAUCAACUUUCGAUGGUAGGAUAGUGGCCUACCAUGGUUUCAACGGGUAACGGGGAAUUAGGGUUCUAUUCCGGAGAGGGAGCCUGAGAAACGGCUACCACAUCCAAGGAAGGCAGCAGGCGCGCAAAUUACCCAAUCCCGACACGGGGAGGUAGUGACAAUAAAUACUGAUACAGGGCUCUUUUGGGUCUUGUAAUUGGAAUGAGUACAAUUUAAAUCCCUUAACGAGGAACAAUUGGAGGGCAAGUCUGGUGCCAGCAGCCGCGGUAAUUCCAGCUCCAAUAGCGUAUAUUAAAGUUGUUGCAGUUAAAAAGCUCGUAGUUGAACCUUGGGCCUGGUUGGUCGGUCCGCCUCGCGGCGUGCACUGAUCCGACCGGGCCUUUCCUUCUGGGGAACCGCAUGCCCUUCAUUGGGUGUGUUGGGGAUCCAGGACUUUUACUUUGAAAAAAUUAGAGUGUUCAAAGCAGGCAUAUGCUCGAAUACAUUAGCAUGGAAUAAUAGAAUAGGACGUGUGGUUCUAUUUUGUUGGUUUCUAGGACCGCCGUAAUGAUUAAUAGGGAUAGUCGGGGGCAUCAGUAUUCCGUUGUCAGAGGUGAAAUUCUUGGAUUUACGGAAGACUAACUACUGCGAAAGCAUUUGCCAAGGAUGUUUUCAUUAAUCAGUGAACGAAAG
rnacentral:rRNA from 1 species